UGCAGACUGCAAGUGGUCCCAGAGGACCGAAACUCAGUAACUUUCACAGUCUGGGGACAGAGUCUCUUUCAGAAAGACCAGAUCUCAGUUUGGAGCUCAAGAGCAGGUGAAGAGGAAGACUACUCAAAAAAUUAUAAAGAGGCACAGAGAAAAUGCCACAAAAUACAGGAACAAUAAGACUACACAUACGAGAUUGAUGGAAACCCAGGGUUGAAAGGGGUCACCAGACAGUCAAAUCAGAAAAAAAAAUCACCCAACGCCAGGUGAAGAAGGUGCACAAUACAGAUUUCUCAAGACCGAUCCAGAGAAACGUCUUCGCCCCCCGCCCCCCGACUUGAAAGCCCAAACUACAUUCUCCCUUCCCCACGCUAAUGCGGGGAGAUUUUACCCUAUUUCAUUGUUCUGCCUGGGUCUGAAAUGGACUUUUCAUCUCUUCGCCCCCUCACCGCCUGGCCCCAAACGAUCCGAUCCCACAGCCCCCCAAAAUCGGAGGCUCGCGAAGAAUAAAGGAGUGUGG